rnacentral:rRNA from 1 species
UACAGAGGUCUCAAGCGUUGUUCGGAUUCAUUGGGCGUAAAGGGUGUGUAGGUGGCGCGCUAAGUCGGGUGUGAAAUUUCGGAGCUUAACUCCGAAACUGCAUUCGAUACUGGCGUGCUUGAGGACUGGAGAGGAGACUGGAAUUCAUGGUGUAGCAGUGAAAUGCGUAGAGAUCAUGAGGAAGACCAGUGGCGAAGGCGGGCCUCUGGACAGUUCCUGACACUGAGACACGAAGGCCAGGGGAGCAAACGGG